GAUGAACGCUGGCGGCGUGCUUAACACAUGCAAGUCGAACGAUGAAGCCCAGCUUGCUGGGUGGAUUAGUGGCGAACGGGUGAGUAACACGUGAGUAACCUGCCCUUAACUCUGGGAUAAGCCUGGGCAACUGGGUCUAAUACCGGAUAGGAGCGUCCACCGCAUGGUGGGUGGUGGAGAGAUUUAUCGGUUUUGGAUGGACUCGCGGCCUAUCAGCUUGUUGGUGAGGUGAUGGCUCACCAAGGCGACGGCGGGUAGCCGGCCUGAGAGGGUGACCGGCCACACUGGGACUGAGACACGGCCCAGACUCCUACGGGAGGCAGCAGUGGGGAAUAUUGCACAAUGGGCGCAAGCCUGAUGCAGCGACGCCGCGUGAGGGAUGACGGCCUUCGGGUUGUAAACCUCUUUCAGUAGGGAAGAAGCGAAAGUGACGGUACCUGCAGAAGAAGCACCGGCUAACUACGUG
rnacentral:rRNA from 1 species